rnacentral:rRNA from 1 species
GAGUUUGAUCCUGGCUCAGGAUGAACGCUAGCGGCGGGCCUAAUACAUGCAAGUCGAACGGGGUUGGGUAGCAAUACUCAAUCUAGUGGCGCACGGGUGCGUAACGCGUAGGCAACCUACCUUUUACUGGGGGAUAACGAUGGGAAACCAUCGCUAAUACCGCAUAAGACCACGGCCUGGCAUCGGGUAGUGGUUAAAGAUUGAUUGGUAAGAGAUGGGCCUGCGUCUGAUUAGCUAGUUGGUGGUGUAACAGACCACCAAGGCGAUGAUCAGUAGGGGUUCUGAGAGGAAGAUCCCCCACACUGGCACUGAGAUACGGGCCAGACUCCUACGGGAGGCAGCAGUAGGGAAUAUUGGGCAAUGGUGGCAACACUGACCCAGCCACGCCGCGUGCAGGAAGAAGGCGCUCUGCGUUGUAAACUGCUUUUGUCCGGGAAGAACAACCUUUACGUGUAAAGGGAAUGACGGUACCGGGUGAAUAAGCACCGGCUAACUCCGUGCCAGCAGCCGCGGUAAUACGGAGGGUGCAAGCGUUGUCCGGAUUUAUUGGGUUUAAAGGGUGCGUAGGCGGUUUUGUAAGUCCGGGGUGAAAGGCGGCCGCUCAACGGUCAGUAGGGCCCUGGAUACUGCAAGACUUCGAGUACAGGCGAGGCUGGUGGAACGGGUGGUGUAGCGGUGAAAUGCAUAGAUACCAUCCAGA